rnacentral:rRNA from 1 species
AUUGAACGCUGGCGGCAUGCUUUACACAUGCAAGUCGAACGGCAGCACGGACUUCGGUCUGGUGGCGAGUGGCGAACGGGUGAGUAAUUCAUCGGAACGUGCCCAGUUGUGGGGGAUAACCACUCGAAAGAGUAGCUAAUACCGCAUGAGAACUGAGGUUGAAAGCAGGGGAUCGUAAGACCUUGCGCAACUGGAGCGGCCGAUGGCAGAUUAGGUAGUUGGUGGGAUAAAAGCUUACCAAGCCGACGAUCUGUAGCUGGUCUGAGAGGACGACCAGCCACACUGGGACUGAGACACGGCCCAGACUCCUACGGGAGGCAGCAGUGGGGAAUUUUGGACAAUGGGCGAAAGCCUGAUCCAGCAAUGCCGCGUGCAGGAUGAAGGCCUUCGGGUUGUAAACUGCUUUUGUACGGAACGAAAAGCUUCGGGUUAAUACCCUGGAGUCAUGACGGUACCGUAAGAAUAAGCACCGGCUAACUACGUGCCAGCCGCCGCGGUAAGAC